UAGAAAGUAGUAAAAAUGGAAUUACAGAGGGUUUUGAUCUCUCAGUUAUAGGUUCAAUGCCUAUUUUUCUAA
rnacentral:tRNA from 1 species